GCAGGGGGAGCAAGAUGGAGUCACAGAAGCAGGUCCUCAUGUCCCUGCUGCUCUGGGUGUCUGGUGCCUGUGCAGAUAUCAUUAUGACCCAGUCUCCAUCCUCCCUGGCUGUGACAGCAGGAGAGAAGGUCACCAUCAGCUGCAAAUCCAGUCAGAGUCUUUAUUUAAGAAUCACCAAGAAGAACUACUUGGCCUGGUACCAGCAGAAACCAGGGAAGUCUCCUAAAUUGCUGAUCUACUUUGCAUCCACUCGGGACACUGGGGUCCCUGAUCGCUUCACAGGCAGUGGGUCUGGGACAGAUUUCACUCUCACCAUCAGCAGUGUCCAGCCUGAAGAUCUGGCAGAUUACUACUGUCAGCAGCAUGGUAGUACUCCUCCCACAGUGCUUCAGGCUCCAACAAAAACCUCCUCUGAGAGUCUCACCAGCUGCCUGCACUACACACACAGCCCUGGACCUGUGCACUUCCCCCUUCUGCCUGAGAGCCAAUGUGUCUGAAAUAAUGAUGAAAAAUUUUGCAGAGCCCAGAAAUAAUAAUGAGUUCAAUGUCUCUUACAUAUUUUGGUAUGAAAAACUUUGUAAGUAAAUGCAGGAAAGAACUGUAUAUUAUAUGACAUAUUUUCGGUAACCAACAAAUUCUUUUGCUUGAAUACAAGUGAUUUACCUUUUUAUAGUUCUGGAGUUCUGGUAUCCAACAUAAGAUUAUUUGGUCUGAAGUGAUGAUGAUGA